rnacentral:rRNA from 1 species
UGAGGUAUUUUGGUCAAUGGACGCCAGUCUGAACCAGCCAAGUAGCGUGCAGGAUGACGGCCCUAUGGGUUGUAAACUGCUUUUAUAUGGGGAUAAAGUGGGGAACGUGUUCCCUUUUGCAGGUACCAUCUGAAUAAGGACCGGCUAAUUCCGUGCCAGCAGCCGCGGUUAUACGGAAGGUUCGGGCGUUAUCCGGAUUUAUUGGGUUUAAAGGGAGCGUAGGCCGUUUGGUAAGCGUGUUGUGAAAUGUAGGAGCUCAACUUCUAGAUUGCAGCGCGAACUGUCAGACUUGAGUGCGCACAACGUAGGCGGAAUUCAUGGUGUAGCGGUGAAAUGCUUAGAUAUCAUGAAGAACUCCGAUUGCGAAGGCAGCUUACGGGGGCGCAACUGACGCUGAAGCUCGAAGGUGCGGGUAUCGAACAGG